rnacentral:sRNA from 1 species
GUUUUUUUCUUCUUCUUCAUUU